rnacentral:rRNA from 1 species
GUGUUGUGUUGUAAGGGCGCAUGGUGGAUGCCUUGGCAUAGUAGGCCGAUGAAGGACGUGAGAGGCUGCGAUAGGCCUCGGGGAGCUGCCAACUGAGCGUUGAUCCGAGGGUGUCCGAAUGGGGAAACCUGGCCGUCGUUGUGGGCGGUCGCCGUUAGAUGAAUUCAUAGUCUAAUUGGUGGUUACGCGGGGAAGUGAAACAUCUCAGUACCCGUAGGAGUAGAAAACAAUUGUGAUUCCGUUAGUAGUGGCGAACGAACGUGGAUGAGGCUAAACCGCGUGCGUGUGAUACCUGGCAGGGUUUGCGUGCGUGGGGUUGUGGGGAUGCAUUGUGCAGGGUCUGCUAGUCCUGCGUUGUGUUGUGUGGGUGUAGCGGAAGUGGAUUGGAAUGUCCUGCCGUAGACGGUGAGAGUCCGGUACGUGAAACACCCGUGCGUGCAAUUGGUGUGUUGCCCGAGUAGCAGCGGGCUCGUGGAAUCUGCUGUGAAUCUGCCGGGACCACCCGGUAAGCCUAAAUACCUGCUUAUGACCGAUAGCGGAUUAGUACCGUGAGGGAAUGGUGAAAAGUACCCCGGGAGGGGAGUGAAAUAGUACCUGAAACCAUGUGCUUACAAUCCGUCAGAGCCCUUUUUUGUGGGGUGAUGGCGUGCCUUUUGAAGAAUGAGCCUGCGAGUCAGCGGCAUGUCGCGAGGUUAACCCGUUUGGUGGGGUAGUCGUAGCGAAAGCGAAUACUAACUAGUGUGUUGUCAGUGGCAUGUCCUGGACCCGAAGCGGGGUGAUCUACCCAUGGCCAGUGUGAAGCAGAGGUAAGACUCUGUGGAGGCGCGAACCCACUUAGGUUGAAAACUGAGGGGAUGAGUUGUGGGUAGGGGUGAAAGGCCAAUCAAACUCCGUGAUAGCUGGUUCUCCCCGAAAUGCAUUUAGGUGCAGCGUCGUGUGUUUCCUCCUGGAGGUAGAGCUACUGGUUGGUUUAGCGGGACUAUCAUCUUAGCGACAUCAGCCAAACUCCGAAUGCCGGUGAGGUGAGAGCACGGCAGUGAGACUGCGGGGGAUAAGCUUCGUAGUCGAGAGGGAAACAGCCCAGAUCGCCGGCUAAGGCCCCUAAGGGUGUGCUAAGUGGAAAAGGAUGUGGGAUCGCGAAGACAACCAGGAGGUUGGCUUAGAAGCAGCCAUCCUUGAAAGAGUGCGUAAUAGCUCACUGGUCGAGUGGUUCUGCGCCGACAAUGUAGUGGGGCUCAAGUACAC